CAUUCUUAAGCACUGGAAGAUGUUUGAUCCUGGAAAAUGUUAAAGAGAACCAUUUGAUUCCUUUUCUGCGUACUUGUGUGGCCUGUCUACCAUCUAAAGCCAAAAUGGACUGCAGAGGACCAACUUGGGAAGGACCAUACACCGUGAUCCUGUCAACUUCUUCAGCUCGCCUGGACUCCUGGAAACAUGCAACACAUUCAAUUCCAGUCCCAGGAACCAGAGACUAUCACUGAGUGUAUUCAUCUGAAUACUUCUGCGAACCCAUGGAAGACUUAAGGUUCUUCUUCAAGAAAAAAACAGUCUUCAGAUAAGUAAUCUAAGAUGUUACUCUUAGCCCUUUUACUAAUCACUACCACUUAAGGGGAAAUGCAAUUCCUGGAUGGCCUAUAAACUAUACUUUUUUUUUUUUUUUUGUACCAGGAAUUAUCUUACAACCUUGCGAUUGCCAGGCAGGCACUGUGCUGCUGAGCUAUACUCUUGGACCUAAACUAUACUCUUAACAAUCCUGGACAUAGUAGAAUCUUUUCCAACAAUGCCACUGAAGCUUCCUUAAGGCUCGGCCGCCAUGAGAACUGCAGCCCAGCCAUGCCUGCCUGCCUUGGAGCCAACUGAGUGUGGACUGAAACCUCCAAAAACUUUCAGAUAAAUACACAGAAGAUGCUCACAGAAGUAGGCCUGGAGCCCAGUUUCGUUUCCACAAGGAAGAGGACCCUGAACUGAAGAUGGCUGUAUUGUCUGUGUUCCUCCUCGCUCUGUUUCCGGUGUCCCAUCUGGGAGACAAGCACUGCUGUGUUGUCCAAGAAGCCCACCCGAAUCACAGCUCAGGCCCAGUAAUAAGUUAGAGGCACAUUGGAAAGAAUGGCUAUUAUCAAGAAAUCAGUCAGUAACAAAUGCUGGCUGGCGUUUGGGGAAAAACGAGCCCUUCUCUAUUGUUGGUGGAAAUGUAGACUGACACAACCAUUGUGGAAAUCAGUGUGGAGGUUCCUCAAAAAACUAGUACUAAAGAUCCCACACAACCCAGCUAUUCCUCUUCCUGGUACAGUAUCUUCCUGAAUGAAUUAAAAGUAUUAUAACACA